UACGGAGGGGGGCUAGCGUUGUUCGGAAUUACUGGGCGUAAAGCGCACGUAGGCGGCUUUGUAAGUUAGAGGUGAAAGCCCGGGGCUCAACUCCGGAAUUGCCUUUAAGACUGCAUCGCUAGAAUUGUGGAGAGGUAAGUGGAAAUUCCGAGUGUAGAGGUGAAAUUCGUAGAUAUUCGGAAGAACACCAGUGGCGAAGGCGACUUACUGGACACAUAUUGACGCUGAGGUGCGAAAGCGUGGGGAGCAAACAGG
rnacentral:rRNA from 1 species